rnacentral:rRNA from 1 species
GACGAACCGUGCGAACGUUAUUCGGAAUCACUGGGCUUAAAGCGCGUGUAGGCGGGUCGGCACGUCGGGAGCUGAAAUCCCCCGGCUCAACCGGGGAAGGGGCGCCGAUACGACCGGCCUGGAGGGACGUAGGGGGGCUGGAACUUCCGGUGGAGCGGUGAAAUGCGUUGAGAUCGGAAGGAACGCCCGUGGCGAAAGCGAGCCCCUGGACGUCUACUGACGCUGAGACGCGAAAGCCAGGGGAGCGAACGGG